AAACAAUAGCUAGAGAGAUAAGUCAAUAGACUUUUAAUGAUUCUCACCACGAUCCAGAAUGAAAGUAAUGAUUAUUUUUGUGCACAUCGAUGGAGGCAUCAAUUUCUCUAGAUGAAAAGAGAUGUGUAAUCGAAAAACGAUUUAAGAUUCAAUAGAAUUCAAUAAAGAAGAAUGAAUUUCAAAGUCAUCGAGCCGAGUACCUGAAUGCUUGAUAGAAUUUUCCAUGUGAGUGAUAGGCUUCGGGACACCCACUGUGUAUUCUCGUUUUUUGCCACCCGUUGAUAGUCUCGCAACUGACUUGAUGCAAUUUUAUCACGACAACUGUCUUACAUACAUCAGAUCUCUUUUUCCACAUUUUAUCAUUCAACCCGCAUGAUUCAACUACAAAUAAGGAACAAUCACAACAAAGUUCCAGUAUCACUUUAAUCAAGAGAUACGCGUAUGGACUAGAUUUUGACGCAUCAAAAUUGCCCAAAGGGAUGCACCAAUCUAUGCUAUGGUGAUCGAUGGUUCAUGCAAUCGAAUUCGGUUGUCUUCUAAAAACAUCAGCGUCUGCAGCAUUUGCAUAUUUUUAUUAAUUGUGUAUCAAGCUCAAGGCAGUUGAGGAAAUGACAAAAUUUAUCCACAUGAUUAACUUUAAUAUCCUUUACAGUUUUUUUUCUCAACUUGUUUUCUCUUCAAUUUUUUUCUCGUAUUUUCACGAGGCCUUCGUCUCGCUAAAAGCGUUCUUCCAUGCACACGUCGAAUAGCCACUUCCGUGUCCGGCACACAUCUUUAAUGAUAUUAAAUACCAGAGUCUAUUGAGCAGUUUUGGAAUGAGCAAGGAAUAUAUUUGGAAUAUUAUUCAUUAUUAUAAAUGAAAUAGCUGACAAAAAUGUGUAUCUAUAUUUUAUGGUCGGUUGAUACAGCUAUAUAUCAAGCGCUCUCUUAUAUCCCUCAGUAUCCUACGCCUUGUACUCUCUAGUUUUCUCCCUCCGCCCAUUAAAAAGUUGUUAAACGCAGCCUGACGUCGCCCCUUGGCAAAUUGAAACCUCAUCAUAAGUCUCACUAACAGGAAAUGAAAUCCAGCAGCAAACACCAUGUCUAGAAGCUUCAAUCUCCAGAUCAAAUAUGUUAUGAAGGAAAAAAAUAUUGAUGGAUAUCAACUAUUUAAUGGAAGUCUUUUUCAUCAAAUAAUUCUUUCAAAUGCUGAAGAAAUAAAUAAAUUUUCAAUCAUCAUUUCUGCAUAGAGUGUUCAAUAGAGCUUGAAAAAAUGAAUGCAUUUCACUUUAGAAAGAAGAAAAAAAGAGUGAAUAAAUAUUUUUUUUGUUUAUUUCUGCUUAUUGGCAUACAUGUGAAGAAGAGUAUCCUAUAUAUAGUUAUAUCGUAAAAUUUUCC